rnacentral:lncRNA from 1 species
GGAAAUUUCAUAGGUUUAACAAGACAGACAAUUUCAGUGUGUUGUCCUCACAAGUGUGUGGGGUAAGGAGGGAUGAGAAGAAAACAGUGGUGCAUAGGUCCAUGCUCUAAAUACUUCUGGAAGUCCACAGGGUGGAUUCAGACCUGAGGCACAAUGCCAGCUGGAUUUCCCAGGGCACUGAGCAUGGCAGGCCCCUCUCCCAGCUCUCCUUCCUCAAACCCACCGGUGGGAAGACCAGUGCUUGUCAGGAGCAGCAGUGACCUGAUGAGUCUCCUGUGUGAUGGGGGUCCAGAAGGGGUCUGGGAGUCCUCCCUGGGAUAGUUUUUAGAGGUGUACAAGCUGGUGGAUGUGUGUGUGUGCCUGUUGUUGCUUCUCUGCCUGACAGGCCUGCAGGCCCAAGUGCAGGCAGAAGUGUCUGCGCAGCACGGAGCUGCUAUGAGUCACCUGUCCCCAGCCAUAAGGUGUGAGGAAGCAGCAAAGGCACAGCUGGACACUGCUAUCUGCCACGGCCUCCACUCCAUGGGCACAUGGAGUGAGGAGCCCACACCAGACCUCAAUACAGGAGCCUUGUGACCAGGCAGCAGCAAUGGCCAAGACAGAGGCAGAGAAAACUGCUUCCAGAGUCUCCCUGCUGUCCAAGAUAACCUCCUCCUGCUUGUCCUCCCGGGGCACCACAGAGGUGACAUCCCUGAGACAGCACGAACCAGGUUUGAUCUGUGGCUGCGUAUCACCAACAAAUUGUUUCCUGACAAUUGUUUCCUUUCCAAAUUGGCUCCUGUUGCCACCCUGUAAAGAUUACUGUGAGUGGAAUCGAAAGCAGCUUUGCUCUCAGACCCUUCGCCGCUUUUGCUUGCACAGGAGGAUGAGCACAUCCCACGUGGUCCCAGCACUCGAGGCAGAGCAGGCAAGACUGUCAGGUGGAAGUAAGGGGCAUUUCAUUGUACGUUGAUGUGCAGUGGAUGAGGAGGUCACUGGUGAACUGAGCAUGCAACUCCACCGUGCACUUCUUCAGGCACUUCUGAGAACAGAGCUGUAUUUCGACAGGGUAAGGCUGAGCCUUGGUCAGGGACAUCUCUUUGUCAAGGAGAAGUGGAUGUUCCUUGUUUUCACACCAGCGGGAAGCAGAACACAAUGCGAGCGCUACCAUUGUCCUACUAUGCAUUGAAUACAUUGUGUCAAGUAACACUCAACCUCAGAAGGCAACACUCAGACACCGCUAAGUCUGCGCUACUCAUCCCACUUCACGUACAGACAUUCAGCACCAUUACGCGAGACCCCUCAGCUUAGCAGGAGCUCCAGCAGCACUCUGUGCUUUUGAAGUGAUACAUGGAGUGAGCUCGUGAAAGAUCCUCCGCUACUGCAAUCCCAGUGCUGGGAGCCGCGGUGCACCGACCACCGCAGAGUUACGAGCCACAAUUCACUCCACGGCAAUCUGCCACCAGAAACAUUUAAGAGCUAGAUCUAGCUAGCUAUUUAUAGAGCGACAUCUGAGCACCUUCCAAGCCGCUGGAACAGCUCAGGGAUGAAUCAUUUUGUCACUGGAACCAAGGGGUGGGAUUUCAAAGUACCUGGCCACGCAGAUCUGCACCCUUGUGCACCCACGGAGCCACAAAGGGCAGCAUGUGCCUCAGGCCUGCACAAAGGGAAGUAAAUCCAUCUGUGUCAGCAGGGAGAUGCUGAUUUAUGCCAGUGGAAGGGCCAGUCCCUUGGGGGAACUUCACAAGUGCUUUAGUCACACAUUCCAGUUCUUCAGGAAAUUUCUUUUGCAGAGACUCUGCAAAAUGCGUGUGUGUGCAUGUGUGGAGCUCUUGUCAGGGCUUUGGAGCAAAGCUGUUUUUCUUUGCUGCCUCUGGGUGGGAAUAGUAUUACCAUGGCUGCUUAUGGGGUGCAUCCCAGUUAUUCAACCACAAGGUCUUGCCCCACCCC